UGGAGGAAGGUGAAAGCCUCCAGGGCCUCUGACAAUCUGCCCCGGAGGAAAAUUCCUUCCCGACCCCAAAUAUGGCAAUCAGUUAAACCCUGAGCAUGUGGCCAAGAC